AGUGGGGAAUCUUGGACAAUGGGCGCAAGCCUGAUCCAGCCAUGCCGCGUGAGUGAUGAAGGCCUUAGGGUCGUAAAGCUCUUUCGCCAGAGAUGAUAAUGACAGUAUCUGGUAAAGAAACCCCGGCUAACUCCGUGCCAGCAGCCGCGGUAAUACGGAGGGGGUKAGCGUUGUUCGGAAUUACUGGGCGUAAAGCGCACGUAGGCGGAUCAGAAAGUAUAGGGUGAAAUCCCAGGGCUCAACCCUGGAACUGCCUUGUAAACUCCUGGUCUUGAGUUCGAGAGAGGUGAGUGGAAUUCCGAGUGUAGAGGUGAAAUUCGUAGAUAUUCGGAGGAACACCAGUGGCGAAGGCGGCUCACUGGCUCGAUACUGACGCUGAGGUGCGAAAGUGUGGGGAGCAAACAGGAUUAGAUACCCUGGUAGUCCACACCGUAAACGAUGAAUGCCAGACGUCAGCAAGCAUGCUUGUUGGUGUCACACCUAAACG
rnacentral:rRNA from 1 species